GUUCACCUCAGACAUGCCGUAAUGACCUGUGGUCAUGGUGUCCAUCUCGCUGUAGCUGCUGCUCAUCAUCAUGUGGCCCACAUGAGACAUCCCACAUGUGCAGGGCAGCUGGAGGCGAGUGGACAGGUAGUUCACAGCUGCGUACUCGAGGACAGAGAGGAAGACGAAGACGAAGCUGACCCACAGGUAGAUGUCUACGGCUUUGAUGUAGGACACUCGGGGCAUGGAGGCAUUUACACCCGUGAUGAUGGUGGACAUGGUGAGCACCGUGGUGAUGCCUGAGGAAAUAAAUAAAUAAAACAAAGGUAUUGGGUGAAAUAUAUUUUUUGAAAAUAUACUUGGUGAACUAUGGACGUAAUGUAUUCUAGCCAUAUUUAGCGCAUGUUAAACAGAUUGGUGGUAAAAUGGGCAAAUGUUUAGGUAAGAGCCUGAUAUUGUAACACGAUUGUAGAUUGUAGAUUGUAUGAUGAUUGCAACUGCAAACACAGGAAGUCACUCAUUCACAACAUAAGUGUUGUAAAAAAGGACAUCAAAUCUCAAAGUGUGUCACACCAAGAGGAACUCUGGCAGGGACAGCGCGCCGGUCGAUCCAGAAGGACACCCAGGACAGCAUGACCAUCAGCGUAGCAGGAAAGUAGGUCUGCAGCAGGAAGAAGAAAAUGUGACGUCUCAGGGUGAACGUGAUGUACAGACGGUUGUACCAACCUGGAAAAGUUGCAACUGCUUUAUUCCUCAGUACCUUUUGGAUUAAUCUUGUUCCACAUUAACACAUUAAGCAGUACCUGUGCUACUGUAGAAGGCCAGUUUUGUGGUGGUGUGAAACUCCUGAAUGAGGAACUGAGAGAGUGAGAUCUUGUCAUCUGUCUUCAGAGAGUCGUUCCCUUUCUUCCAGUACAGCAUCAGAUCAUCGUCAGUGUACGCAUCUAUAAAGAAGCCAGAAUCAUCCAGAAAGAAAAGCUUAUCACUUCAUUAAGUUGACCAC